rnacentral:lncRNA from 1 species
GUGGUAACCCCCAUGAUCAUCACUAACAGAUUCCCGGAGCAAAAAUUAGUUUAGCCCAUAAUUUGUGAUAAUCUUGUAUCUGAGUACUGUUCUGAUUGUUCAUCUGCAUCAAUGUUUUCCCAUCUUCUGUAAUUUUUGGAUUUCCUCACUUGCCAAAUUUCUAGAUUGCCUACAGUUUGGGACAGUUUCAAUACUACUUUUCUGUGAAGAGGUGCAUUUGUUCGAUCAGUCAUUAGGAGAACAAAAUUUCUAGGGUGGUACAGUUUUUAUUGUGUAUAAAGUCUCAUCAUGUAUUAUUUUUGUAUGGAAAGAGAGUAAAUUUUUUAUGACAUGCUGAUAGAAGUUUCCUAGAUAAACUUACUACUUGGAAAAUAUUUGCUUGUUAUAAGUUUCUUGGUCUUUUUGGAUGCAUGUGCUUGACGGCGUAUGAUUCCCACUCUUUUUACAGCAAACUGUUUGAGAAGGGUCGUUGCCUCAAGAAGAGAUGGAUGUACGACCAAAUUAUGUACGUGGUGUUUUAGAAGCCAUUGCAUCCAAGUGCUAUGAGAAUGAGAGCAACUACAAGAAUGUGAUUUAACCAAUAGAGGCAGAAUUUAGGGUGGCGUUUUUUAAUGAGUUGUCUCUGAAAUGUUGUGUGUUAAAAAAUCAGAGACAUUCAGUUGUGUAUAAUCGUGAACCCAAUAAUUAUUGUCAAGAAAUUAACCUAAUAAACAUUCAGGAUGUUUGAAUUUGGAUUUAUAUUAUCGUUCAUCAACAUCAUUGAAAAGUAGUAGUUUCAGAUGGCAGAGGAGACAAAUAAAUCAGAGCUUCAAUGAUUUCAUGAGUUUCAAUAGCAGGAAUGGAUACAUAUAUAUUUAUAUAUAUAUAUAUACACACGCGUAUGUAGUAUCGUUUUCUUUUUUAAAUAAAAAUUGAAAUCAAAAAUAAAAAUGAAAUCUAAAUACUAACUAUAAAU